rnacentral:misc_RNA from 1 species
AAAAAACUAAAAGGAAAUGAUCAUCUUAAACAUUGAAACUCCAUCUCAUAUAUCAUCUUUAAACCUCAAUUAUCAUAUUAUAUCAUAACAAACGGCAGGUUAAGAAAAAGACAUUAACCCAUCUAAGCCUUGGAAAAGUAUCCAGCCCACUUCUCAAUCCAUGUCCUCAAUAAUGGGCCCAAUGCCACUUCUAGCACCCAUAGAAGGACCAUCCUCAUCUAUUACUCUGCCCAUGUCUCGGCUAGUGCUUGGUACAUCUUGGAUUGGGUUGCAAAUGCUUUCCAAUUCUUUCAUCUUGUCUUUAAAUUCAUCUGCCUCAGCGAGUUGAUUCCCACAAAGCCACUGAAUGGCCGACUCAAUUGCAUCUUCAAUUUUCUUCUUAUCAGCAGCAGAGAGUUUUGCACUGAUCUUCUCAUCUCUAAAUCUCAUGUUGUAAGCAUAGUUCUCCAGUGCGUUCUUGGCCUUGACCUUCUUUCUGUGUUCCUCAUCCUCAUACUUGUAUUUCUCUGCCUCUUGUACCAUCUUCUCAAUCUCCUCUCCGGAAAGCCUGCCCUUGUCAUCAAUGAUAGUAAUCUUGUUCUUCUGUCCAGUUGUUUUAUCCUCCGCAAAGACAUUCAGAAUACCAUUGGCAUCAAUGUCAAAGCAAACAUGGAUUCGUGGAACACCCCUAGGAGCAGGGGGAAUGCCAAAUAAUUCAAAAUUGC